rnacentral:misc_RNA from 1 species
GAUGAAGAACGCAGCGAAAUGCGAUAAGUAGUGUGAAUUGCAGAAUUCAGUGAAUCAUCGAAUCUUUGAACGCACAUUGCGCCCCUUGGUAUCCCGAGGGGCAUGCCUGUUCGAGCGUCAUUUCACCACUCAAGCCUGGCUUGGUGUUGGGCGACGUCCCCUUUAGGGACGCGCCUCGAAACGCUCGGCGGCGUGGCACCGGCUUUAAGCGUAGCAGAAUCUUUCGCUUUGGAAGUCGGGGCCCCGCCUGCCGGAAUACCUACUCGUAAGGUUGACCUCGGAUCAGGCAGGGAUACCCGCUGAACUUAAGCAUAUCAAAAGCGGAGGA